CACGGGGGGAGCAAGCGUUGUUCGGAAUCACUGGGCGUAAAGGGCGUGCAGGCGGUCAGGUAAGUGAGAUGUGAAAUCCCCCGGCUUACCCGGGGACCUGCAUCUCAUACUGCCUGGCUUGAGUAUGGGAGAGGAUGAGGGAAUUCCUGGUGUAGCGGUGAAAUGCGUAGAUAUCAGGAGGAACACCGGUGGCGAAGGCGCUCAUCUGGCCCAAUACUGACGCUGAAGCGCGAAAGCUAGGGGAGCAAAC
rnacentral:rRNA from 1 species